AUUCUUUGCUACAAACUUGGGCCUGAAAGGCAGGUGGGGUAAAGGAACAGCACUAGUCUUAGAACCAGCCUUUUACUGGCUAUGACACCUUGAGCUAGUCCCUUGGCUUGUCUGAGCCUCAGUUUGUCCUUCUGGAAGGUAAGGAUUAUGAUGAAAUUAUCCUCAAAGUAGGGGUGGCAGGCAAACACUAGCAGGCCCUGGAUAAAUGCAUGUGAAUGGCUCUCCAGAUUGCUGGAUUCCAGUUCUGCCUGGCUGUGUUUUUUUUUGUUUUGUUUUGUUUUUUGAGACAGAGUCACGCUCUGUCACCCAGGCUGGAGUGCAGUGGUGCAAUCUCGGCUCACUACAAGCUCUGCCUCCCAGGUUCACGCGAUUCUCCUGCCCAAGCCUCCUGAGUAGCUGGGAUUACAGGCAUGCACCAACACGCCUGGCUAAUUCUGUAUUUUUAGUAGAGGCGGGGGUUUCUCCAUGUUGGUCAGGCUGGUCUCGAAUUCCUGACCUCAGGUGAUCCGCCCGCCUCAGCACUCCCAAAGUACUGGGAUUACAGCUGUGAGGCACCGCACCCAGCCAAAAAUUUCCAGUUGCUUUCUUUUCUUUUUGAGAUAGAGUUUCACUCUUGUUGCCCAGACUGGAGUGCAAUGGCACGAUCUCGACUCACUGCAACCUCUGCCUCCUGGGUUCAAGCAAUUCUCCUGUCUCAGCCUCCCAAGUAGCUGGAAUUACAGGCGUGUGCUACCAUGCCCAGCAAUUUUUUUUUUUUUUUUUUCAGUAGAGAUGGAGUUUCACCAGGCCAGGCUGAUCUCGAACUCCUGACCUCAGGUGAUCCACCCGCCUCAGCCUCCCAAAGUGAUAGGAUUAUGAUUACAGGCGUGAGCCACUGCGCCCUGCCUGGGCUGUGGUCUUUAACUGGCUGAGAGCCUUCAGAUGAGAACACUCUGAGCCUCAGUCUCCUUCAAUGGAGGCACUGGACAGCAGGAAGUCAGAGAAGACUUUCAGUGCUAACUGCUCAGUUUUUAUCAAAGCAACUGUGAAUUGUAGAAAGGGGAAAAUUAGCUCUGAAGUAUUUAAGAGGAAAAUGGGGAAUUUUCUUGGAAUUGAUUGAACAUGUUUUAAGACAUCACAAGGAUGCCUCCAAACCUGCUUGACUAUGAACAAUGACUUGUUCUCCUCCAAGGACUAGAUAUGGAGUCUUAUGCUGACCAGGCUGGUCUUGAACUCCUGACCUCCAGUGAUCCUCCAUCUCAGCCUCCCAAAGCCCUGGAAUUACAGGUGUGAAAACCCUGAAGUCAGUGUUGGAGUUAGGAGUUGAA
rnacentral:lncRNA from 10 species